UUACAAGGUCUAGAAAUAUGAUAAGGCAAAUAAACAACCCGUUAGAUGGGAGGGGUUGUUCUUCAGAUCUGGGAGAGAUCUGAGAAUAUGGGGUAUAGAUGGAAGAAUCAACAUUUUCCAAAUGGAUAACACCACAAAGGAGCUGUAUUCUUGACACAAGGGAGAAAACAGCAGCAAAGAUAGACGCAUAAAAGCACACGGUGAAGUCAGGCAGCUGCCACUCGUCCGGAAAAUUGAAAUGUCAGCCUGAGGAGCCGACAUGUGAUGGAUUGAUAUUCAAUUGCUAAAUGGGUUUCUUUUCACUCAGUAGCUGAUAGAUUUGGGCAACUAUGCUCCCUCCAUGGCUCCUGACGAUAUGUGGAGCCAAAACUUUAUUCAUUAAGGUCAAAUGAUUGCCCUUGUUAUGAGCACGGAAUGAGAUCCACUGGGGUGUCCUGGGAUUCAAUCAUUUCCAGGGCUUCUAAAAAACUGAGCACAGCUGUUGGGCACGGCCAGCUCCACGCAUCAACAUGAGGACAGCUACCUGCCUGGUGUGACUCAGAGGACCUUCUGCUCCCAGAGAGCUUCUAAACUUGGUUUGCCUAAGAUUUUUGGUUUGUCGGCACUGGAGAUUUCACAUUCAAUGCCAAGAAGAAAGAAGAAAAAAGAGAGAGAUGCUGCGGGAAGACAGGAAGCAGCACGUGUCUAUCCACACCGCGUGCCAGGCGUCUCUCCUUGCCUAGCUCUUCGAAUCAGUCGGCCUCACUGAUAAGAAGGCUGCCGCUCAGGCGCUGAUGCGGUGGAGUGAGCAGAGAAUCAGACGUACACUGAGGAAUCCUAAUGCCGGUCCCUCCUGGCUAGUUCUAGAUGAUGCAAUGGGGUAAGUCAUAAAACCUCUCUGAAUGUCAUUUUCCUCAGCAUA
ensembl:lincRNA